AGAAAUGAAAAAAAUGAAAAAACAUAGAAGUUCUCGAUUCUUCUUCGGAGCGCGAAACAACUGGUUCAGAAUCCAUCUCCCUCUACUAUAAAAUCGUUGUAUCCAUCACAAUUCUGCGCUAUCCCGAAAUUCUUCAUUUACCGUCAGCUUCUUCCAAUUCUGCGCUCUUCCUCUUAUCUGUCCUGCGAUCUUCCCCCAUUGUUGCGGAAUUAAGGGUGUUUUGUAGAGCCAAUUGGUGUUAAGACCAUUUGUUUGGCUGUUCGAAGAAUCGAGAAUGACUCAUAUCCUCCCGAUAUGUUUCUCCUCUGAUUUUAGAUCACUUUUUUUUUUAUUAUUAUUAUUUUCAUUAUUUCUUUUUUGUUGUAUGUGUUUUUUUGAUCUUGUGUUGAUUGAUGUUGAUGGACAGCAAAGUUAAAUUAUAAAAAUUCGUUCUUUAUGUUUUUUUUUUUGGGUUUUAUUCCUCUGGCAUCAAAGGUUUAAGAUUUUCAAUCGUAGAAAUUAGGUCUGCUUGUUUGGUAGUACUCUUAUCAUGCUAUUAGGGAAUGUGGCAUAUUUUUGGAUUUUUUUUUUUUUUUUUUUAUCUUGCAAAGAGUAUAAGAUGAUCCCCUCUUGCAAGCUAGAUUGUGUGAUGUUUAUGAUUUUAUCAAAGGUUUAAGCUGGCCUCUAGUUAGGGAUAUGGUAUUUAACAUAUGUGACGCAUAGAUGUGACGAAAAAAUUACACAAAAUCUCACACCCAUCUAGUUUAGAUGACACAAAAAAUGUGACAGAGAAUAGUUUAGGUUUUGUGUGACGUGAAAGGGAGAAACAUGAACACGAGCAUACAUUGUUAGUAGUUGAUCUACCGUCUGUUUCUUCUUUGACUUAUGCUAACGCGGAAGUCAAAGAGAGCGUGAUCGUGUGAGGGCUCAGGCGAGGGCUGGGCAGAAGCCCAGGAACCCGAAGGAUGAUGGAUUAACCCUGGAACAGAGACGAGAGAGGGACGCAAAGGCAUUGCAAGAAAAGGAGGCGAAGAAGGCAGCAGCAGCAGGAGGGAAGGCAAGUGCAGAUCAUACUAAAAAUCACAAUAAGAAAUAGAUGGUGUUGAUUCAUCUGCUUCUUUGAGGGGUGGUAUUGAUGGAUCAGAUGUGGUUUUAGCUUUGUUGUUGUUCAUUUCUGGAACUGAAUAUUUCGUGUAAUCUCCUUGUAUCUAAUUUUAUCAAUGCAAUCUCCUUUUAGUGUGUCAAA